rnacentral:lncRNA from 1 species
UGGGAGCAGGGGCCUCUGUGAACAGUUUUACCUGGAAGAGAACCCCUCUCAGACCUAGACCUCCCUCGCGAGCUUCAGAGCAGAGGCAGAAGAGCCCACAGAGCAGCAGAUCCUAGAUGUGUAUGGUCAGAAGCAUUUCUUGAUCCUACUUCCCAGAUAGAGUCAGACUUGGUGGUGAAGCCUCCAGAAGCCACCACAGAAUGGGUGACAGUGGGUGGUUUGGGCCAGCUUUGAGAAGAGCAAAAUGAGCUGGGUGGGGGCCAGGGACAGGCUGCUCAGGAAAGGCCACAUCAUUGCAGAGGUCUGGGGGUAGGGGUAACCAGAGAGUCUGUUCCCAGAUCCCAAAGUAGCCCCCAGUCCCUUUGUUCUCCACUCUUUACAGAUGCCAUACUGCUGUUAACACAUGUGACACUGGAGAAUCCCAGCAUGAUGAUACAUGAAGAGUUUUCUGUGGUUAUCUACUUCUGAUUCUUUUGAAAGCUUUAAAGACAUUGGGCAUGAAAGGUUCGCUGAGGCUUCACAGUUCUCUACACUCUCCCAAGAGCCACAGACAAUGAACACAUUUCAGGUAAGCUCUUUAUUCAUUCCCCACUUUGUAUUGUAAUGGAUUUAUGAGGUGUAGAUGGGUCCUUGCAUUAAAUGGAAAAGGAGAAAUAGAUCGAGAAAAUCUUGAGGGAAAAUAUAUACAGUUUUACCAUGAACUCUUGUUUGCUGUCAGCUUUUGGUAAAUAAUGUUUGUCAGGGUUAGUAGGUUCCCUCCAGUUACCAGUUUGCCAAGAUCUCAUGCUAGUUAUGAAUGCACAUUGAAUUAUAUUAAAUACUUUUUGUAUAUCUAUUAGAAUAAAUGUAUAGCUGUGUCCUUUAAUGAAUCUGUA